rnacentral:tRNA from 1 species
UGGCUCAGUGGUAGAGCGCUUGCCUAGCAUGCAUGAGGCCCUGGGUUCGAUUCCUUA